ensembl:lncRNA
CUUACUCGUUUAGAUUUCAAGAAAGGAUUGCAUGCAGAUCGCCCUAAAACUAAGACUGUUCGUUCUCUACGGGAAAGAACGCGUUCAAGUCCCACAUCGGGAACGGCCAUUCCUGUCCCAGAUCCACCUCGCACGGCUGAGGUUUUACCCAGAAAACCCCAGCGUAUCAUUCACAACUCGACAUCAACAUCUCAAAGACCCCGACUCAUCCCCGUCUCACCUGCAGGGGGCAGCAGCCUCUCCAAGACCCCCAACGCCGAAUUUCACAGCCCUCCGCGCCUCACAAGGGUCUCGCCGCUCAGUAUCGACACAUCGGUGACACGGAAUUUCGUUCACUCUCCAGCUGUAAAAGUGGGUAAUGUUUCCCAACAGAUUGUUUCCUCAACUGAACCUGGGAAAGAUGGGACUGAACCUCCCCUUCGACUCUGGCUUUGUCCUUCUCUGGAGCCCAUUAGCGCUACAAAAACUCAGGAUACGUUCUCAGAUCAGAUUGUAAAUUCACCAAAUUUUCCGGAGACUACACUUAAUGGAACAGUGACCCAAAAGGAAAGUCUUUCUCUGCUCAGUGAAUGUGAAAGCUGUGGCUGCCAAUUUCCUGCUCAGAAGAUCGGAGACAUAAUGUGCUACAGAUGUAGGCCUAAAUCAGACAAGAAGCACUCUCCUCCAAAUAUUGUGUUUAGGAAGGUAUGUACCAUUCUUGAGACUGGGAUAAAACAAAACGUUUAUGUGGCAGAAAUGGU